rnacentral:rRNA from 1 species
AUGGAGGACGCCAUCGACCUCGAUGCUGCCGCUGGCCUCGCCUCCCUCGCCUUGUCCGGCACCCCUGCCCCCGUCGGGAAAGGCAAGCCUCGUGCCCCGCACAAGACCGCUGUCGCGACCAAGACAAAGAAGCCGCUAACGACCGCACAAUGGGCAAGGCAGUCAGCCAAGAGGAAGGACCGGAGGCACGCCAUGGACAAGAGGGAUGAGGCCGCCGGGCAGGCCGCCGCCGCCGCCGCCGCGCAGCAGGAGGUCACCAACUCCUGCGUCACGGCGGCAACAAGGGAGGCGUUCUACAUGCAAGGGUUAAACCCUAGCCAGCACAGCCUCCUCAACGCCGCCGUCGCCGCGACCAGCACCGGCUCAUCGGCGUUUCCUUUAAUGAUGCCGCCCGACUCGCCCCAUGCGUCGGCUUGCGACCCAAUGCCCGGCUUCCAUGUGUACCCGCAGGCCUCCCGCCUCUUCGGGGAGUGCUCGCUCGAUGUGACCGUGGUCACGCCUUCCACGCCCGCGCCCGCGCCCAUCAACCUCAACGCCACCCCGAUGGCCGCCGCUGGCUACGAUCCCGAUAAGACACAAAGCCAGGACGGCCGCGGGGCAUUCACGCCAGCCACUGGCUAUGAUCCGGAUCAGGGGGCCUUCAUGCGUGAUCAGGUCGGCAUCGACCUGGACGGCUUCGCACUCGACCACGAGUUCCGGGACGACUACGUGCUAGAGGAAGAGGAUGACUGCGACAUCAAAGUGGAGCCCUUGUUCGAGGACGAGCUCGCCAACCAAGCCGCCCGUCCUAAGCCGAAGCGCAAGAGCAAGUGCAUGAAGGCAUACACGGCGGCCGAGGACAAGCUUCUUUGCGAGUGUUGGCGAGACAUUGGACAAGACCCCAAGAUGGGCACCGAACAAAAGCAUUCAACCUUUUGGAUUUAUGUCCACCGAGAGUUUCAUGAGCGCAAGAAGUUUCCUCUUUACCAACUUGUGAGCAUGCGCGGGUGGGUGUCCAUUUCCAAGCGAUGGAGGGUGAUCCAACAAGAGUGCAACAAGUUUUGCGCCACUCUUGAGAGCGUCAAGGCCCACCCUGUGAGAGGCAUCGGCAUGCAAGACAUGGUAUGCUAGCAUUUCAAGCUUUGUAGGCAUUCAAGGUUCAAUACAAUGGCAAGUGCUUCAACCUCUCCCAUUGCUUUAGGGAGGUUGGGGAGGGCGAGCCGGCACGGCCGGGGGGGGGGGGGGAAGACCAACUCCAAGAAGGAGGACAAGCGGGAUGCGGCAUCCAACUCCUUGAUCGCAAGCGUGGAGGGCAUGAUGAACAAGAAGGACUCAAGGGAGGAGGAGCGCCGACAUUUCAAGGUGGAGCAAAUGGACGCUUUCCUGGAGAUCCAAAGGAGGAGGCUUGAGAUGGACGCGGAGAAGCACGUCAAGAUGUUCGAGCUCGAGGCGGAGAAGCAAGCCAAGAUGCUAGAGAUCGAGGCUACCAACGCCAAGACCAAGACCAAAGAACUGGCUCUCACGAGCAUGAUGACCAGGGUGGAGAUCAUGAAGGUGGAUCUCAACACCGUGUCGCCAAGGAAGAGGUCGUGGUUUGAGAAGAUGCAGGCCGACAUGCUCAAGUUCGACAACGAGUGA